GACGAACGCUGGCGGCGUGCUUAACACAUGCAAGUCGAACGGAAAGGCCCUGCUUUUGUGGGGUGCUCGAGUGGCGAACGGGUGAGUAACACGUGAGUAACCUGCCCUUGACUUUGGGAUAACUUCAGGAAACUUGGGCUAAUACCGGAUAGGAGCUCCUGCUUCAUGGUGGGGGUUGGAAAGUUUCGGCGGUUGGGGAUGGACUCGCGGCUUCUCAUCUUGUUGGUGGGGUACUGGCUUACCAAGGCUUUGACGGGUAGCCGGCCUGAGAGGGUGACCGGCCACAUUGGGACUGAUAUACGGCCCAGACUCCUGCGGGAGGCAGAAGUGGGAAAUAUUGCACAAUGGGCGGAAGCCUGAUGCAGCAACGCCGCGUGCGGGAUGACGGCCUUCAGGUUGUAACCCGCUUUCGCCUGUGACGAAGCGUGAGUGACGGUAAUGGGUAAAGAAGCACCGGCUAACUACGUG
rnacentral:rRNA from 1 species